rnacentral:rRNA from 1 species
UACGGAGGGUGCAAGCGUUAUCCGGAUUCACUGGGUUUAAAGGGUGCGUAGGCGGGCAGGUAAGUCCGUGGUGAAAAUCUCCAAGCUUAACUUGGAAACUGCCGUGGAUACUAUUUGUCUUGAAUAUAGUGGAGGUGAGCGGAAUAUGUCAUGUAGCGGUGAAAUGCUUAGAUAUGACAUAGAACACCCAUUGCGAAGGCAGCUCGCUACACUAUUAUUGACGCUGAGGCACGAAAGCGUGGGGAUCAAACAGG